CUGUAUCGGCCUUGCUGCUGCUUUGGUGCA
rnacentral:piRNA from 1 species